CGGCAACCUCAUUUUGGGGGCCAUGUUCCAAGGGGAGAAUAGAUAAUAGUUAAGUGGAGAAAGAUGUGGAUUGAAGUGAAACUAAGAGGAGAAGAUGAUUUUGGAGAGUUUCUUAUAGAUUUUGUAGGUUAGGGUUUGGAAUUUGGGGAAAUCAAGAGAGUGAGCCAUGUGAUCAAAAAAUUUAAGGAGAGUGAUCCAUGAUUUUGUGAGAUUUUGAGGUUUGGAGAGAUCUAAAAGGAGAUUCUUAGGUUUGGGAUG
rnacentral:lncRNA from 1 species